CAACCCUUGUCCUUAGUUUACCAGCACGUUAUGGUGGGCACUCUAAGGAGACUGCCGGUGACAACCGGAGGAAGGUGGGGAGUGACGUCAAGUCAUCAUGGCCCUUACGGCCUGGGCUACACACGUGCUACAAUGGUCGGUACAAAGGGUUGCCAAGCCGCGAGGUGGAGCUAAUCCCAUAAAACCGAUCGUAGUCCGGAUCGCAGUCUGCAACUCGACUGCGUGAAGUCGGAAUCGCUAGUAAUCGUGAAUCAGAAUGUCACGGUGAAUACGUUCCCGGGCCUU
rnacentral:rRNA from 1 species